GACGUAGGGUGCGAGCGUUGUCCGGAUUUAUUGGGCGUAAAGAGCCUCGUAGGCGGCUCGUCGCGUCGACCGUGAAACCCGCAGCUUAACUGCGGGCCUGCGGUUGAUACGGGCGGCUAGAGUUCGGUAGGGAGACUGGAAUUCCUGGUGUAGCGGUGAAAUGCGCAGAUAUCAGGAGGAACACCGGUGGCGAAGGCGGUCUCUGGCCGAUACUGACGCUGAGGAGCGAAGCGUGGGAGCAACAGG
rnacentral:rRNA from 1 species